UACGGGGGGGGCAAGCGUUGUUCGGAAUUACUGGGCGUAAAGGGCUCGUAGGCGGCCAACUAAGUCGGAUGUGAAAUCCCCAGGCUUAACCUGGGAACUGCAUCCGAUACUGGAUGGCUUGAAUCCGGGAGAGGGAUGCAGAAUUCCAGGUGUAGCGGUGAAAUGCGUAGAUAUCAGGAGGAACACCGAUGGCGAAGGCAGGUCUCUGGGCCACUACUGACGCUGAGAAGCGAAAGCAUGGGGAGCGAACAGG
rnacentral:rRNA from 1 species